rnacentral:rRNA from 1 species
AACACGUGGGUAACCUGCCUGUAAGACUGGGAUAACUCCGGGAAACCGGGGCUAAUACCGGAUGGUUGUCUGAACCGCAUGGUUCAGACAUAAAAGGUGGCUUCGGCUACCACUUACAGAUGGACCCGCGGCGCAUUAGCUAGUUGGUGAGGUAACGGCUCACCAAGGCGACGAUGCGUAGCCGACCUGAGAGGGUGAUCGGCCACACUGGGACUGAGACACGGCCCAGACUCCUACGGGAGGCAGCAGUAGGGAAUCUUCCGCAAUGGACGAAAGUCUGACGGAGCAACGCCGCGUGAGUGAUGAAGGUUUUCGGAUCGUAAAGCUCUGUUGUUAGGGAAGAACAAGUGCCGUUCAAAUAGGGCGGCACCUUGACGGUACCUAACCAGAAAGCCACGGCUAACUACGUGCCAGCAGCCGCGGUAAUACGUAGGUGGCAAGCGUUGUCCGGAAUUAUUGGGCGUAAAGGGCUCGCAGGCGGUUUCUUAAGUCUGAUGUGAAAGCCCCCGGCUCAACCGGGGAGGGUCAUUGGAAACUGGGGAACUUGAGUGCAGAAAAGGAGAGUGGAAUUCCACGUGUAGCGGUGAAAUGCGUAAAGAUGUGGAGGAACACCAGUGGCGAAGGCGACUCUCUGGUCUGUAACUGACGCUAAGGAGCGAAAGCGUGGGGAGCGAACAGGAUUAGAUACCCUGGUAGUCCACGCCGUAAACGAUGAGUGCUAAGUGUUAGGGGGUUUCCGCCCCUUAGUGCUGCAGCUAACGCAUUAAGCACUCCGCCUGGGGAGUACGGUCGCAAGACUG